rnacentral:rRNA from 1 species
UACAGAGGGUGCGAGCGUUAAUCGGAAUUACUGGGCGUAAAGCGCGCGUAGGCGGCUUUUCAAGUCGAUUGUGAAAUCCCCGGGCUUAACCUGGGAACUGCAGUCGAGACUGUCUAGCUAGAGUAUGGGAGAGGGAAGUGGAAUUUCAGGUGUAGCGGUGAAAUGCGUAGAUAUCUGAAGGAACAUCAGUGGCGAAAGCGACUUCCUGGACCAAUACUGACGCUGAGGUGCGAAAGCGUGGGGAGCAAACAGG